CUAAGAAUAUUCCGCAAUGGACGGAAGUCUGACGGAGCGACGCCGCGUGGAUGAAGAAGGCCGAAAGGUUGUAAAGUUCUUUUGCUAGGGGAGAAUAAGUGUGGGAGGGAAUGCCUGCACGAUGACAAGGACUAGCGAAUAAGUCCCGGCCAACUACGUGCCAGCAGCCGCGGUAACACGUAGGGGGCGAGCGUUGUUCGGAAUUACUGGGCGUAAAGGGCAUGUAGGCGGCUUGGUAAGCCUGGCGUGAAAGUCUGCAGCUUAACUGUAGGGAUGCGUUGGGAACUGCUUAGCUUGAGUUACGGAGAGGGAGCUGGAAUUCCUGGUGUAGGGGUGAAAUCUGUAGAUAUCAGGAAGAACACCGAUGGCGAAGGCAAGCUUCUGGCCGACAACUGACGCUGAGGUGCGAAAGUGUGGGGAUCAAACAG
rnacentral:rRNA from 1 species